rnacentral:rRNA from 1 species
GACAGAGGGUGCAAACGUUUGUUCGGAAUUACUGGGCGUAAAGCGUGUGUAGGCGGCUUCGCAAGUCGGAUGUGAAAGCCCCGGGCUCAACCCGGGAAGUGCACUCGAUACUGCGGAGCUAGAGUGUCGGAGAGGUUGGUGGAAUUCUCGGUGUAGAGGUGAAAUUCGUAGAUAUCGAGAGGAACACCGGUGGCGAAGGCGGCCAACUGGACGAACACUGACGCUGAGACACGAAAGCGUGGGGGAGCAAACAGG